rnacentral:tRNA from 1 species
UCCCUGGAGCACUAGGGGUUGGGCCACAGCACUCUCACCGCUGUGGCCCGGGUUCAAUUCCCAACCAGGGAA